ACUAUCUGAGCCAAAAAAAACGUUUAUAUCAUUGACCAUCCAUAUGGUUUUGGACUUCAAGUUGAUGAUCAGUUGAAGGUUACAGUUACGGUAUUUCUGACUCACGUCCCUAGUAGAUUCCAGUUACACUCUCAUCAGAAGAUUCCACUUCUUAAUCAAUUCCUGGUAAAACCAACUGUUUGGAUAAAAACGAGUGUGGUGUAGAUAAUGUGUAUUUUUUUUUACUUGUAAACUACAAAUCUUAUUGAUAUCAUAUUAUUGUUUGAUUGUUAUUCUUGUUCAGAUUAAUACUGAUCAUCGAAGUUGACUAUUUAUAUUUAAUGAUUAAAUUUUGUUGUAAUAAACUUGGAAUUUGAGUACAGAUUUUUUGAUGGAAUGAGUCAAUGAUUUUUUUUCUUCUAAAUUUGCAUAAACGGGGAAUUAGGAAGGUAAGCGAAUAGGAAAAUGGGCAAAAUGGAUCUUCAAGAUUGGGGCAUUUGUUUUCUUGUCAUCAAACUUGUAGCCUGCGGGAAAAAGAAGCAUCAAAUUUGGGCACACCCAAUCAAAGUUCUUUAAGUUGGCAAAUUAUAUGGCGUUCAAUAUUUCAAAGUGAUUUAAAUCGCACCUUGAAGAGCAUCAAGAGCAAUUGUCGCACAUUUCGCAUCCUCAAAUUCCACAAAGCACAAGACACGGGCCUUAUCUUCACUCUGCAAAGAAAAGAAAAACAUCCCCAUAAACAUUAGCAUUCUAUUCAUACCUCUGACAUUUAUAUAUUUGUUCUUCCUCUACCUUCACUCUCCUCCAUAAAUCGAAAAUAAAUUCUGUAAAAAAUAAUUUCCACGAAUCAUGCUGGAAAUCCAGCGAUCCAGCAUUUAAUUAUUUCAUUGGGUGCAAGACUGAUUUCAGUCAACUGAUUGUACCUCCUUCAAAUAAUGAAUUAUGAUUCUUUAUGAAGUUUCAUAUUACUAAUUAUUGCCAUCUUGCAGAAAUGGACAUGAUCAUUACUGAAAUAAAGUCAUAAUGGCAUAAUUCAAUAUGAAAGAUAUACACAUGAGGAGAAAAAACUGCUAUAUCUCCAGAGAUUAUCUUCAAUUAAUGCACGAGUUGAUUCGACAACCAUGAUGCAUGAUAAAUGGUACCAUAUUGAGAAAACAUCAUUGACAUGAUUUCAUAUCAGCACAUUGUCAUCAAAUAUGCAAAAUUGAGGAAAAUUCCAGUCGAAUACUUUUGGAUAUAUGUAUUAUGAAUAUUGUUAUUGGAUUAUAUUAUAUUAGGUGAAUAAAAAAAAUACAUUUAAAAAAUGCAUAUGCAUAAUUUGCAUCUAUGUACGACUAUGCAUUGUCACUUACAUACACACGCAGGAAACCAUGCUCACUGAAAGGAAUCAAUAGAAUUUUAGCGAGAAAAAUUCUUCCUGAUAAGUGCAGAAAUUUGAAGCGUGUACCAGGGGAUAAGGUUGGGAAUGUUUCCAACAAAAGAUGUGGAAAUUUGGGUGAAGAUGGCAUAGAUCAGGAGAUCCUCCAAGCAACAGUCAGUCUAAACAGAUCUCGGCUCAGAUCUGAGACUGGAUUGUAUUAGAGUACAUAUAUAAUUAAAUGGUAAGACGUACAAAAAUAAACUUAAUGUUGUCAUCCCCCAUUCCCCCUUUAUAGUAGAGAGCUUGACAAUUUCAAACUAUUAACUGUACCAUUAUGAUCCAAUUAAGAUUUAUCCUCUUCAGAUGAACUAAUAUCUCAGGUUAAGGAAUACCAUCACAAUGUGGGGUCGCUUCAAUAAAAUAGUAAUAGACGCUCACGAGGCCGGAGAUCCGAAUUGCGGUAAACAAUGAAUAAGAUGGUGUCUCAUUAACUGGUGCGCUGGGAUGGCAAUAAAUAAGAUGCUCUAUACCUCCAAUAUAUUUCCAGAUAUCAAACAAUGGCAGAGAAACCAGACCAGUAUGACACUGCCUUGCUUAUAAAAAUAUUGAAUACAAUGUAACGGGGAUCAUCUUUGAUCAAACUUUGCACUAAGCUACCAUGGAUUCUUUUACAACCCAAGUCAUAUCAAGAUUUACAUUUCAAUCUUGUGCACUUUUAGUUUGAACCCACAAUAUUAAGGGGGGCAUGUUAGUAUUAAGUUUAAACAGCAUUACUUAUUUGUUACUUGUAUAUAAGAUUAUAAUUAGGCACAAUUCUGUUACUCUCCACUAUCUAAGGUAAUAGAGAGUGGAGACUUGUAUUAUAUAUACCCAAUUAGGUAAUGAAUAAGAUACAAUAUUAAUUUCCAAUUCUAUAAUUUUCAUAUCUUAUUCAUUACCCAAUUCUAGAGUUCUCAUAAUCACCAGUCUGUUACACACUAACAAUUAUAAUGAUGGUUUUUCAAAUUGACUAAAUUUUCUAUAGUAAAUUUAUAAAAUUUUAUGUUUUCCAAAACAGUGUGUUCAGUUCACUAAUUUGGAAAUCUAUGAAGUAAAUCAUUUGUAUGCAUUUGUAAUGAUUGAGGAUGACAACAUGAUAAAAUAAA
rnacentral:lncRNA from 1 species